CCUACGGGUGGCUGCAGUGGGGAAUAUUGGACAAUGGGGGCAACCCUGAUCCAGCCAUGCCGCGUGUGUGAAGAAGGCCCUCGGGUUGUAAAGCACUUUCAGUGAGGAAGAACGCCUGGUGGUUAAUACCCAUCAGGAAAGACAUCACUCACAGAAGAAGCACCGGCUAACUCCGUGCCAGCAGCCGCGGUAAUACGGAGGGUGCGAGCGUUAAUCGGAAUUACUGGGGGUAAAGCGCGCGUAGGUGGCUUGAUAAGCCGGUUGUGAAAGCCCCGGGCUCAACCUGGGAACGGCAUCCGGAACUGUCAAGCUAGAGUGCAGGAGAGGAAGGUAGAAUUCCCGGUGUAGCGGUGAAAUGCGUAGAGAUCGGGAGGAAUACCAGUGGCGAAGGCGGCCUUCUGGACUGACACUGACACUGAGGUGCGAAAGCGUGGGUAGCAAACAGGAUUAGAUACCCCAGUAGUC
rnacentral:rRNA from 1 species